GAUUUUACAGCUUCUGAUUUUCCCCUCAUUCGAAAAUGGUGGUGCCUUAUUCUGAUGGAGAAUUUUGCCAUUGAAAGGAAACAUGCUGCUGUUGAUGUGCUGGUGCCACUUGAACAACACAACACUGAAAUCGCCGACAUGGAGCCAUGGAUAGUAAAAGACCUCUUGACCGCAGUUGGAUGGCUGCCAAACUGCCAUGCCUUCAGAGGUUUUG